rnacentral:rRNA from 1 species
UACGUAGGGGGCAAGCGUUGUCCGGAUUUAUUGGGCGUAAAGAGCGUGUAGGCGGCCAGGUAGGUCAGCUGUGAAAACUCGAGGCUCAACCUCGAGACGUCGGUUGAAACCACCUGGCUAGAGUCCGGAAGAGGAGAGUGGAAUUCCUGGUGUAGCGGUGAAAUGCGCAGAUAUCAGGAAGAACACCCGUGGCGAAGGCGGCUCUCUGGGACGGUACUGACGCUGAGACGCGAAAGCGUGGGGAGCAAACAGG